AACAUUUUUAUUGCAAUAUGGUCAAAUACAUCUUUGUUUACAUGUGACUGCCUGUAAUUCCUUUAGAAAGCUGGCAAGUCACAUUUCACCUGGCCACUGGAACAUGUCUGUACUGGCAGAUUUUGAGUCAAGUCCAACAACUAGUCACCCAGGAACAACUACCAAAUCCAGAUAACAUGAUGGAAGUCACUCCAGCUGAGUCAGAUAGCAUGGAGAUCACCCCAACCACAGGAAUCUAUGACUCAGCGGCGAUGAAAAACAUUUUGCUGGCCUGUAAGUGGGUGGAGGAGAACCAACACCAAUUUGCUGGGAAGAUUGAACUGCCAAAGAUGAAGAUGAAGGAGGAAGAUGCAUUGUUGGCUAUCACAAUGUAAGACUUGUUCCUAAAAAACAUGUUUUAUGAAGGUGAAAGGGAUGAAGAAGAAAUUUGGGCUCCCUUUCUUUUUACUUUUCAGAGAGUCGAGGACAUGGACAUUUUCUUGCAGGAAAUACGAGACAAAAGAGACAUCUGUGUGUCUUGUUUACACAACCCUCACUUGUGAAUGUACUAGUGGGGUACUGUA